rnacentral:ncRNA from 2 species
CCCCUAUCAAGAGCGCUCGAGAGCCCUGGCUCGAUGACAGCGCAGCAACCGACCGCCGCCCCUCACGGCGGAACGGUGCUCCUGCCAGGUCCGAUAGGAG